UACAGAGGGUGCGAGCGUUGUUCGGAAUUACUGGGCGUAAAGCGCACGUAGGCGGACUAUUAAGUCAGGGGUGAAAUCCCGGGGCUCAACCCCGGAACUGCCUUUGAUACUGGUAGUCUCGAGUCCGGAAGAGGUGAGUGGAAUUCCGAGUGUAGAAGUGAAAUUCGUAGAUAUUCGGAGGAACACCAGUGGCGAAGGCGGCUCACUGGUCCGGUACUGACGCUGAGGUGCGAAAGCGUGGGGAGCAAACAGG
rnacentral:rRNA from 1 species